CGAAACCUGCUCGGCAGAACGACCGGCGAACUUGUUCAUCACUCACGGGGGCAGUGGUGGUGUUGGUGCCUUGUGCCCCUGCAUGCCUCUCUCCUGGGCCGGGCAGCCUCCCACCUGUGGGUUGUUACCUUGGCGCAUCAACGAACCCGGACGCGAAAAGCGUCAAGGAACAUAAAUCAGUGCUCUUGUCCUGCGCUCGGUAAGCCGGCGGACGGGCGUGGUGACAUGUAAUAAAACAAACGACUCUCGGCAACGGAUAUCUCGGCUCUCGCAUCGAUGAAGAACGUAGCGAAAUGCGAUACUUGGUGUGAAUUGCAGAAUCCCGUGAACCAUCGAGUCUUUGAACGCAAGUUGCGCCCGAGGCCUUUGGCUAAGGGCACGUCUGCCUGGGCGUCACGCAUCGCAUCUCCCCCACAACAACCGUGAGUGGGGGUAGGAGGAUGGCUUCCCGUGCCUCGCCGGGUGCGGUUGGGCUAAAUUUGGAGCCAAAGGCAUCGUCCUUUUGCGGCGAUAGGUGGUGAACAAGGCUUCGGCCGUGCAAGCAACCCGCCGUGUGGGACUUUGCCAUGGGAGGACCCUUUGAUGUUGCCUAGUUGCAACUCCUAUAG
rnacentral:rRNA from 1 species